AUCGAACGCUGGCGGCAGGCCUAACACAUGCAAGUCGAACGAGUGGCGGACGGGUGAGUAAUGUAUGGGCAACUGCCUGAUGGAGGGAGCUAACGACGGGAAACCGUAGCUAAUACCGCUUAACAUCAGCUGUGCCCAUAUGGGAUUAGCUAGUUGGUGGGGUAACGGCUCACAAAGGCGACGAUCCCUAGCUGUGCUGAGAGGAUGACCAGCCACACUGGAACUGAGACACGGUCCAGACUCCUACGGGAGGCAGCAGUGGGGAAUAUUGGACAAUGGACGCAAGCCUGAUGCAGCCACGCCGCGUGUAUGAAGAAGGUCUUCGGGUUGUAAAGUACUUUCAGUAGGGAGGCGUUACCCACAUAGGAAGCCCCGGCUAACUCCGUGCCAGCAGCCGCGGUAAUUC
rnacentral:rRNA from 1 species